rnacentral:rRNA from 1 species
GACGAACGCUGGCGGCGUGCUUAACACAUGCAAGUCGAACGGAAAGGCCCUGCUUGCAGGGUACUCGAGUGGCGAACGGGUGAGUAACACGUGGGUGAUCUGCCCUGCACUUCGGGAUAAGCCUGGGAAACUGGGUCUAAUACCGGAUAGGAGCCAUUUUUAGUGUGAUGGUUGGAAAGUUUUUUCGGUGUAGGAUGAGCUCGCGGCCUAUCAGCUUGUUGGUGGGUAAUGGCCUACCAAGGCGGCGACGGGUAGCCGGCCUGAGAGGGUGGACGGCCACAUUGGGACUGAGAUACGGCCCAGACUCCUACGGGAGGCAGCAGUGGGGAAUAUUGCACAAUGGGCGCAAGCCUGAUGCAGCGACGCCGCGUGGGGGAUGACGGCCUUCGGGUUGUAAACUCCUUUCGCUAGGGACGAAGCUUUUUGUGACGGUACCUAGAUAAGAAGCACCGGCUAACUACGUG